rnacentral:tRNA from 1 species
CAGAAAAUAGUUUAUUAAAAAUAUUAAUUUUGGAGAUUAAAGAUAAAUUUUAUUUUUUUCUGA